UACAGAGGGUGCGAGCGUUAAUCGGAAUUACUGGGCGUAAAGGGCGCGUAGGCGGCUUAUCAAGUCAGGCGUGAAAUUCCCGGGCUCAACCUGGGAGCUGCGCUUGAUACUGAUUGGCUUGAAUGCGGGAGAGGAUAGUGGAAUUCCCAGUGUAGAGGUGAAAUUCGUAGAUAUUGGGAAGAACACCGGUGGCGAAGGCGGCUAUCUGGCCCGUAAUUGACGCUGAGGCGCGAAAGCGUGGGGAGCAAACAGG
rnacentral:rRNA from 1 species